UUAAAACUUUCAACAACGGAUCUCUUGGUUCUGGCAUCGAUGAAGAACGCAGCGAAAUGCGAUAAGUAAUGUGAAUUGCAGAAUUCAGUGAAUCAUCGAAUCUUUGAACGCACAUUGCGCUCCCUGGUAUUCCGGGGAGCAUGCCUGUUCGAGCGUCAUU
rnacentral:rRNA from 1 species